UCGAGAAUAAUUCACAAUGGGGGCAACCCUGAUGGUGCAACGCCGCGUGGAGGAUGACGGUCUUCGGAUUGUAAACUCCUGUCAUCUGGGAGGAAGACCUGGCGGUGAACAGCCGACAGGGUUGAUAGUACCAGAAGAGGAAGGGACGGCUAACUUCGUGCCAGCAGCCGCGGUAAUACGAAGGUCCCGAGCGUUGUUCGGAAUCACUGGGCGUAAAGGGAGCGUAGGCGGCGCGGUAAGGCAGAUGGG
rnacentral:rRNA from 1 species